rnacentral:rRNA from 1 species
GUCCACGCCGUAAACGAUGUCAACUAGCCGUUGGUUCUAUUUUAAUAGGAUUAGUGGCGCAGCUAACGCAUUAAGUUGACCGCCUGGGGAGUACGGCCGCAAGGUUAAAACUCAAAUGAAUUGACGGGGGCCCGCACAAGCGGUGGAGCAUGUGGUUUAAUUCGAUGCAACGCGAAGAACCUUACCUACCCUUGACAUCCAGAGAAUCUGUUAGAGAUAGUGGAGUGCCGCAAGGAACUCUGAGACAGGUGCUGCAUGGCUGUCGU